rnacentral:rRNA from 1 species
UGGGGAAUAUUGGACAAUGGGCAAAAGCCUGAUCCAGCCAUGCCGCGUGUGUGAAGAAGGUCUUCGGAUUGUAAAGCACUUUAAGUUGGGAGGAAGGGCAGUAAGCGAAUACCUUGCUGUUUUGACGUUACCGACAGAAUAAGCACCGGCUAACUCUGUGCCAGCAGCCGCGGUAAUACAGAGGGUGCAAGCGUUAAUCGGAAUUACUGGGCGUAAAGCGCGCGUAGGUGGUUCGUUAAGUUGAAUGUGAAAGCCCCGGGCUCAACCUGGGAACUGCAUCCAAAACUGGCGAGCUAGAGUAGGGCAGAGGGUGGUGGAAUUUCCUGUGUAGCGGUGAAAUGCGUAGAUAUAGGAAGGAACACCAGUGGCGAAGGCGACCACCUGGGCUCAUACUGACACUGAGGUGCGAAAGCGUGGGGAGCAAACAGG